rnacentral:rRNA from 1 species
GAUGAACGCUGGCGGCGUGCCUAAUACAUGCAAGUCGAGCGGAGCGAGGGUGCUUGCACCUUAGCUUAGCGGCGGACGGGUGAGUAAUGCUUAGGAAUCUGCCUAUUAGUGGGGGACAACAUUCCGAAAGGAAUGCUAAUACCGCAUACGCCCUACGGGGGAAAGCAGGGGAUCUUCGGACCUUGCGCUAAUAGAUGAGCCUAAGUCGGAUUAGCUAGUUGGUGGGGUAAAGGCCUACCAAGGCGACGAUCUGUAGCGGGUCUGAGAGGAUGAUCCGCCACACUGGGACUGAGACACGGCCCAGACUCCUACGGGAGGCAGCAGUGGGGAAGAUUGGACAAUGGGCGGAAGCCUGAUCCAGCCAUGCCGCGUGUGUGAAGAAGGCCUUUUGGUUGUAAAGCACUUUAAGCGAGGAGGAGGCUACUUAGAUUAAUACUCUGGGAUAGUGGACGUUACUCGCAGAAUAAGCACCGGCUAACUCUGUGCCAGCAGCCGCGGUAAAAC